rnacentral:rRNA from 1 species
GAUGAACGCUGGCGGCGUGCCUAAUACAUGCAAGUCGAGCGAACAGACGAGGAGCUUGCUCCUCUGACGUUAGCGGCGGACGGGUGAGUAACACGUGGAUAACCUACCUAUAAGACUGGGAUAACUUCGGGAAACCGGAGCUAAUACCGGAUAAUAUAUUGAACCGCAUGGUUCAAUAGUGAAAGACGGUUUUGCUGUCACUUAUAGAUGGAUCCGCGCCGCAUUAGCUAGUUGGUAAGGUAACGGCUUACCAAGGCAACGAUGCGUAGCCGACCUGAGAGGGUGAUCGGCCACACUGGAACUGAGACACGGUCCAGACUCCUACGGGAGGCAGCAGUAGGGAAUCUUCCGCAAUGGGCGAAAGCUUGACGGAGCAACGCCGCGUGAGUGAUGAAGGUCUUCGGAUCGUAAAACUCUGUUAUUAGGGAAGAACAGAUGUGUAAGUAACUAUGCACGUCUUGACGGUACCUAAUCAGAAAGCCACGGCUAACUACGUG